rnacentral:rRNA from 1 species
GGCCUAACACAUGCAAGUCGAGCGCCCCGCAAGGGGAGCGGCAGACGGGUGAGUAACGCGUGGGAAUGUGCCUUUUGGUUCGGAAUAACUCAGGGAAACUUGAGCUAAUACCGUAUAAGCCCUUUGGGGGAAAGAUUUAUCGCCAUUAGAGCAGCCCGCGUAAGAUUAGCUAGUUGGUGAGGUAAUGGCUCACCAAGGCUCUGAUCUUUAGCUGGUCUGAGAGGACGACCAGCCACACUGGGACUGAGACACGGCCCAGACUCCUACGGGAGGCAGCAGUGGGGAAUAUUGGACAAUGGGGGCAACCCUGAUCCAGCCAUGCCGCGUGAGUGAUGGAGGCCUUAGGGUUGUAAAGCUCUUUUACUCGGGAAGAUAAUGACUGUACCGAGAGAAUAAGCCCCGGCUAACUUCGUGCCAGCAGCCGCGGUAAUACGAAGGGGGCUAGCGUUGUUCGGAAUUACUGGGCGUAAAGCGCAUGUAGGCGGCGAUUCAAGUCGGGGGUGAAAUCCCAGGGCUCAACCCUGGAACUGCCUUCGAUACUGUCUUGCUAGAGUGUGGAAGAGGUAAGUGGAACUGCAAGUGUAGAGGUGAAAUUCGUAGAUAUUUGCAAGAACACCACUGGCGAAGGCGGCUUACUGGUCCAUUACUGACGCUGAGAUGCGAAAGCGUGGGGAG